UACGUAGGGGGCUAGCGUUGUCCGGAAUCAUUGGGCGUAAAGAGCGUGUAGGCGGUCCGGUAAGUCCGCUGUGAAAGUCGGGGGCUCAACCCUCGAAUGCCGGUGGAUACUGUCGGGCUAGAGUGCGGAAGAGGCGAGUGGAAUUCCUGGUGUAGCGGUGAAAUGCGUAGAUAUCAGGAGGAACACCGGUGGCGAAGGCGGCUCUCUGGACGGUGACUGACGCUGAGACGCGAAAGCGUGGGGAGCAAACAGG
rnacentral:rRNA from 1 species